rnacentral:lncRNA from 1 species
GAUUGGCUAUCCAGGAGGGUCGUACGAUACGUCUCUUUUGGUAAAGUACGAGCAUCAUGUUGCUCUCCAUUUAUGGUUUGGUGAGCUAAAUAAAUGAUGUAGAUUUGAAAUUGAAUAAUAUUGAAUAUUUUAUAUUGUGUUUUAUAAUAUGUGUUUUAAUUGUUUUUAGGAAAGAGGUCCGAAGAAAAAGUUAAAGGUUGUUGGACACGGACUUAAGCUGACAUCGAGGGUUCCACUAGCUCUUCCACAACAGGUGGAGAGUUGGGUUUCUAGGUUUGGAUUAUCUUCACUUCAG